rnacentral:rRNA from 2 species
CACUUUGGGAUGGACCCGCGCCGUAUUAGUUAGUUGGUGAGAUAAAAGCCCACCAAGACGAUGAUACGUAGCCGACCUGAGAGGGUAAUCGGCCACAUUGGGACUGAGACACGGCCCAGACUCCUACGGGAGGCAGCAGUAGGGAAUCUUCCACAAUGGACGAAAGUCUGAUGGAGCAACGCCGCGUGAGUGAUGAAGGUUUUCGGAUCGUAAAACUCUGUUGUUAAAGAAGAACAAGUGUUAGAGUAACUGUUAACACUUUGACGGUAUUUAACCAGAAAGCCACGGCUAACUACGUGCCAGCAGCCGCGGUAAUACGUAGGUGGCAAGCGUUGUCCGGAUUUAUUGGGCGUAAAGCGAGCGCAGGCGGUUUUGUAAGUCUGCUGUGAAAGCCCUCAGCUCAACUGAGGAAGUGCAGUGGAAACUACAAAACUUGAGUACAGAAGAGGAAAGUGGAACUCCAUGUGUAGCGGUGAAAUGCGUAGAUAUAUGGAAGAACACCAGUGGCGAAGGCGGCUUUCUGGUCUGUUACUGACGCUGAGGCUCGAAAGCAUGGGUAGCGAACAGGAUUAGAUACCCUGGUAGUCCAUGCCGUAAACGAUGAAUACUAGGUGUUGGAGGGUUUCCGCCCUUCAGUGCCGCAGCUAACGCAUUAAGUAUUCCGCCUGGGGAGUACGACCGCAAGGUUGAAACUCAAAGGAAUUGACGGGGGCCCGCACAAGUGGUGGAGCAUGUGGUUUAAUUCGAUGCUACGCGAAGAACCUUACCAGCUCUUGACAUCUUCUGCCAACCCAAGAGAUUGGGCGUUCCCUUCGGGGACAGAAUGACAGGUGGUGCAUGGUUGUCGUCAGCUCGUGUCGUGAGAUGUUGGGUUAAGUCCCGCAACGAGCGCAACCCUUAUUAUUAGUUGCCAGCAUUUAGUUGGGCACUCUAGUGAGACUGCCGGUGAUAAACCGGAGGAAGGUGGGGACGACGUCAAAUCAUCAUGCCCCUUAUGAGCUGGGCUACACACGUGCUACAAUGGAUGGUACAACGAGUCGCGAAACCGCGAGGUCAAGCUAAUCUCUUAAAGCCAUUCUCAGUUCGGAUUGCAGGCUGCAACUCGCCUGCAUGAAGUUGGAAUCACUAGUAAUCGUGGAUCAGCAUGCCACGGUGAAUACGUUCCCGGGCCUUGUACACACCGCCCGUCACACCAUGAGAGUUUGUA